GACAUUUUGUAUUUUUUUUUUUCAGAAAAUAAUAUCUGUAGUAUAUCAAACAGUUGGUGCUGUCUUGGGGCCUCUUCCUGUCAAUGUUUAUUAUGGAAAUAAGUACUGGAAAUGAAGUCUAGAGGAAGGAUCAAUUGUAUGGUGAGAAAUGGGGCUGUGACCAGUAUGAGCCCAAACAAAUUGGACCAAAAGGAAUAUUAUACAAACUUUGGACAUCAUGUGUAGUUAAUCUGUCAUUGUAGCAGUCUGCGUUUCAUCCCAGUAUGGAGCAGUAUCCUUUUAUUCACUGGAAGCAGAAAUAUCAAGAUCUAGGCAGGACAUGACAUGUAUAUACUAUCUUCGACGAGAUUAACAAAUGACGUACUUCCUUCUCGCUCACUGGUCUACUGCUGCUUCUACGCUUUGUGGGUUACAGUGGUGAUGUAAUGUGUGCAUUUUUGAUAAGAAAGUUUGGAAAAAGUCCUGGUAGCUUCAAUGAAGAAUCAUGAAAGUGACUUCCUCUCCUGGGAAUAAGAAUAAUGAUCACAGCAUGAUAUGGAUUACUAAAGAAUGAGUUUGCAACAUGUAAUUAAUUACUUUUUGGACACGUUUGGAGUUCUGGGACUAGAAGGUAAGAAAAAUCCUUUAACAUUUUUGGGGCUUUAGUUGAUUUGUUGUACAAGCCCGCAUAAUAAUAGGAACUUAUAAAUUUCAAU